GACGAACGCUGGCGGCGUGCUUAACACAUGCAAGUCGAACGGAAAGGCCCCGCUUUUGUGGGGUGCUCGAGUGGCGAACGGGUGUGUCACAUGUGUGUAACCUGCCCUUGACUUUGGGAUAACUUCAGGAAACUGGGGCUAAUACCGGAUAGGAGCCUCUGCUGCAUGGUGGGGUUUGGAAUUUUUCAGCGGUUGGGGAUGGACUCGCGGCUUAUCAGCUUUUUGGUGGGGUAGUGGCUUACCAAGGCUUUGACGGGUCGCCGGCCUGAGAGGGUGACCGGCCACAUUGGGACUGGGAUACGGCCCAGACUCCUACGGGGGGCAGCAGGGGGGAAUAUUGCACAAUGGGCGGAGGCCUGAUGCAGCAACGCCGCGUGCGGGAUGACGGCCUUCGGGUGGUAAACCGCUUUCGCCUGGGACGAGGCGUGAGUGACGGUAAUGGGUAAAGAAGCACCGGCUAACUACGUG
rnacentral:rRNA from 1 species